rnacentral:rRNA from 1 species
AUUGAACGCUGGCGGCAGGCCUAACACAUGCAAGUCGAACGAGUGGCGGACGGGUGAGUCAUGUCUGGGACACUGCCUGCUGGAGGGGGAUAACUACUGGAAACGGUAGCUAAUCCCGCAUACCAUCGGAUGUGCCCCGAUGGGAUUAGCUCGUAGGUGGGGUAAAGGCUCACCUAGGCGACGAUCCCUAGCUGGUCUGCGAGGAUGACCAGCCACACUGGAACUGAGACACGGUCCAGACUCCUACGGGAGGCAGCAGUGGGGAAUAUUGCACAAGGGGCGCAAGCCUGAUGCAUCCAUGCCGCGUGUGUGAAGAAGGCCUUCGGGUUGUAAAGCACUUUCAGCGAGGAGGCGUUACUCGCAGAAGAAGCACCGGCUAACUCCGUGCCAGCAGCCGCGGUAAUUC